rnacentral:rRNA from 1 species
ACGCUGUCUUCUAGAGUUUGAUCCUGGCUCAGGAUGAACGCUAGCUACAGGCUUAACACAUGCAAGUCAGGGGCAGCAUGAAGUCAGCUUGCUGACUUUGAUGGCGACCGGCGCACGGGUGAGUAACGCGUAUCCAACCUUCCCCUUACUCAGGAAUAGCCCGUUGAAAGACGGAUUAAUGCCUGAUGUUCUCUUUUUCCGGCAUCGGUAAUAGAGCAAAGAUUCAUCGGUAAGGGAUGGGGAUGCGUAUGAUUAGCUUGUUGGCGGGGUAACGGCCCACCAAGGCAACGAUCAUUAGGGGUUCUGAGAGGAAGGUCCCCCACACUGGAACUGAGACACGGUCCAG